AUGGGCACCAGGCUUCGCGGCUGGGCAGUGCUCUGUCUCCUGGAGGCAGUGCUGUCUGAAGCUGGAGUCACCCAGUCUCCCAGAUAUGCAAUCAUACAGGAAAGGCAGGCUGUUUCUUUUCAGUGUGACCCUGUUUCUGGGCAUAUUACCCUUUACUGGUAUCAGCAGCCCAAAGACCAGGGCCCCCAGCUUCUAGUUUACUUUCAGAAUAAGGAUGUUGUGGAUGAUUCACAGUUGCCCAAGGAACGUUUUUCUGCAGUCUGGUCUAAUGGAGUUGAAUCUACUCUCAAGAUCCAGUCUGCAAAGCUGGGGGACUCAGCCACAUAUCUCUGUGCCAGCAGCUUAGCCACAGCAAUACACAGACACUUACCUUCUGUGCACAAAGCUGAUGGCUUUCUUCAACUCAGCUUUCAGCAGAUACCCCGGGUUAUGUCUUUUCCUCCAUGGACAGAGUGA